rnacentral:lncRNA from 1 species
AUUUGACCAAACUGGUUUCGGAUCUGUGUUUGGCAGCUGAGCAAAGCCUUAACCUGAAAGAAAGUUAAGAGAAGAAGAUUAAAAUCUCUAAAAGUAGAAGAAACCAACAACAGAAGAAGCCAAUGCCCAGUAGUAUAGGCUUUGAUAGUAUGGUCUCGGACAAGCUGCAGUUUUAAGCAGUGACCGUGGCUUUUCUCUUGGAGCCAAUGAUUCACCAAGCUUAACCUCCUGCACUAAAGCUAAAAGCUGCUGAAAGAAAUACAAAAAUGCAGCAGAAAUUGAUUAAGGAAUAACUCUUAGUUUGAUUCUUUCUUGUUUCUUUUUGUAUGAGUGAUUGCAGCUUGCUUUUAAGCUGGUAAGAGCCUUAAGAAAGUAGGAGAUUUGCAUUCUGGUAUAUGUUUUUUUCUGGAUCUGUAGGAGCAUCCUAAAAUGCACUCUUAUUUUAUUUUUACCGAUAAAAAAUAAUAGCUAGUUAUUUUUCAUUCUGAAGGAUCAAUCAUUAAAUAUUACCUAAUAGAACGAGUAAACAAUUUCACUUAAGAUGCUCUUGGAAUUUAUUUAAAAUAUUAUAUUGGAAUAUAUGAUUUUCUACAUUGGUUGUAAUGUAACUAACAUAGAAUGUAGCUUUGAAUGUUGGUUCAAUAGAUGGCCUUUUCUUCCUUAUGCCCUCACUCUCGUUAUGUCCUUCAUAGUAUCAUUGGCUAUGGGUGUUUUUGAAUUGGCAUUGCUACUAGAAUAUUGAAUACUAUUGUUUUUUUUUAAUAAUCAUCUACUCAUAUUUUUUUUAUAUAAAUGAUUCUAAGACUUAUUUUAAAUGGGGGAAUUUCACAUAUCAUGUUUUUAACAUCUGUGGAUGAUUGUUUCCACCGUGGAGCUUAUAAAUAGAAGAGAAAAUUGUUUGAACAAUUAUUAUUCCAACAAAUUAUCCUCUUCAAAAUAUUUAUUCAAUUUUCAUGAAGUUCCUCAAAUUCAUUUCUUUUUCAUCACUUUCCAAUAAACUUUCCAUUUGUUUUGUAAAAAAAAUCAUAUAAUAUGUUUCAAAUUCUUAAUAUAUGACCAAUUUGGAAGAUAAAAUGAUUUUUACAUUAAAUAUCACCUAUAGAACAAGGAACCAAUGUCAUCACUUAAUCUCAAAGGUAGUCUCAGACUGCGAAUUUGAUCAGACUAAAGCAGUAAGCAGUUCUAGCCAGGUACGCAUUCUUGAAUCCAAGCUGAAAAAACUCCAAGAUAUUAACCUACAUCGUGUACAAUAAAGAAAGGAGAAAAAUAUUAAUGCUUUAAAUUCUAUCCUCUUGAAAUAUUAAUCUAAGAUGUAAUAAGUGAGUUGGGUGUCUUUAUUCAUAAAGUAAAGCCACAGAAAUAAACUAAUUCACUAAAGUUAGUGCUGUCGGGAAUAAUCAACAGCUACUGCUUCCUGACCAUCACUCCUUUAUUCAAGUAAAUCUCCAACAAAAUCCUCAGUCCAAUUUUCAGAACCCUUUCUUCUCUUUCAUUUCCCCACUUCCUUUCCAACCAUGCCACUCCUUGAAACUCUUGGUGGUGCUCUUUUCGGUGCUGUUCUCCAGCUCCUAUUGGACAAGCUCGAUUCUCAACAAAUCCUGGACUACUUUGGUGGGACAAAGCUCGAUGGGAGGCUGCUGAAAAAGUUGAAGAGGAAGUUGAUGGACAUCAAUGCUGUGAUUGAUGAUGCAGAACAAAAACAGUUCACUAAUUCAUUGGUCAAACAAUGGCUUCAUGAGGUCAGAGACGCUUUGUAUGACGCGGAGGAUCUGUUGGACCAAAUAGACUAUGAAUUCUCCAAAACUCAGUUGAAAGCUGAAUUCCAGAGCAGUGCUAGCAAGGUAAGCAGUUUUCAAUCCAAGAUCAUAGAACUCCUAGAUGAUCUACAAUCUCUCUUAGACCAAAAGCUUGUUCAAGAUUUCAAAAUUUCUAGUGGUGUUGGAUCUGGCUUGGGUAAUAAAGUGUCACAGAAAAGAAAUGAAUCCUCAUCGUUGGUGGCCCAAGAGGUUAUUCAUGGCAGAGAUGAGGACAAAAAAAACAUCCUUGAUUGGUUGAUAUCUGACAAUAACAAUCAUAACCAACUAUCAAUACUUUCUAUUGUGGGUAUGGGUGGGAUGGGUAAGACCACACUUGCUCAACAUGUAUACAACGACCCAAUCAUAGAGGGUAUAUUUGCUAUCAAAGUCUGGGUUUGUGUUUCUGAUUAAUUCGAUGUUUUCAUGUUAACACGAGCAAUUCUUGAGUCAAUCCUUAAGGAAACUGAUAAUAGCAGAAACCUAGAAAUGGUUCAGGGGAGAUUUAAAGAAAAGUUGAAAGGAAUGAAGUUUCUUCUGGUUUUGGAUGAUGUUUGGAACGAACACCGAGACCAAUGGAAAUCAUUACAAACUGCUCUUAAAUAUGGUGCUAAGGGAAGUAAAAUUCUUAUCACAACACGCAUUAACAAAGUUGCUUCUAUCAUGGAGUCAAGCAAUACUCACCAACUAAAGCAAUUACAAAAAGAUCACAGUUGGCAAGUUUUUGCUAAAUAUGCAUUUCAAGAUGAUAACUCUAAGUCGAAUUCUGUGUUGGAGGAGAUUGGCAUAAAGAUAGUUGAAAAGUGCCAAGGACUGCCUCUGGCCCUUGAAACGGUAGGAGGUCUUUUACAGUCAAAGUCAUAUGUUUCAGAGUGGAAAGGUGUACUAAGAAGCGGCAUAUGGGACCUACCAAUAGAAGAUAGUAAAAUCAUUCCCGCUUUGUUAUUGAGCUAUUACCAUCUUCCUUCUCAUCUUAAGAGAUGUUUCGCUUAUUGUGCAUUAUUCCCCAAAGGCCAUAAGUUUGACAAGGAGAGCUUAAUUCUAUCAUGGAUGGCUGAAAAUUUUCUACAAUGCUCUCAUCAGAGUAAGUCUCCAGAAGAAGUAGGUGAACAAUACUUUAAUGAUAUGUUAUCAAGGUCAUUCUUCCAAAAGUCAAUUCCAAAAGAAAUGAUGUACAACAACACAGUUUUUGUGAUGCAUGCCUUUUGAAUGAUUUAGCAAAAUAUGUUUCUGGUGAAAUGUGCUAUAGGUUGGGUGUUGAUAGACCAGGAAGCAUACCUAAGACUACCCGUCACUUUUCAACAGUAAAGAAUCCUGUUAAAUGUGAUGAGUAUAAGAGUUUAUGUGAUGCUAAAAGGCUACGGACAUUUCGGUCCAUAUAUAGGAAUUGUGGGAUGUCAAUACAAGAGUUGAUCUCCAACUUUAAAUUCUUACGACUCUUAUCUUUGCCUGACUGUCGUAACAUAAAAGAGGUGCCUGACACUAUAGUGAAUCUUAUACAUCUCCGUUCAUUAGACCUUUCAUUCACAGACAUAGAAAGACUUCCUGACUCAAUAUGUUCACUUUAUAACUUGCAAGUGUUGAAGCUGAACUGUUGUUAUCUUUUGAAGGAGUUGCCCUCGACUUUGCAUGAGCUCACUAAGUUGCGUCGCCUUGAACUUAUUGAAACUUCAUUAAGAAAGGCUCCAGUUCUUUUUGGAACGUUGAAGAAUCUUCAAGUAUGGAUGGGUAAGUUUGAGGUUAGCAAAAGUAGUAAUAUUCAACAAUUAGGAGAACUUGAUGUUCACGGAGAGUUGUCAAUUAAAAAUCUUGAAAAUAUGGUGAAUCCCUGUGAUGCAUUGGUAGUGGCUUUGAAGAAGAAAACAAAUCUUGUGGGGUUACAUUUACAAUGGAGUUUGUAGCGGAACACUAACGAAUCAAUAAAGGAAAGAGAAAUACUAGAGAAUCUGCAACCUUGUAGACAUUUGGAGAAGUUGUCAAUCUAUGGCUAUGGCGGAACACAAUUUCCCCGUUGGUUAUCUGAUAAUUCUCUAUUGAAUGUUGUGUCCUUAACUUUGAAUAACUGUAAACAUUGCUUGCAGUUGCCUUCCCUUGGACUUUUAACAUCUCUCAAGUACUUGAAAAUUUUCUGCCUUCUUCAAAUAGUGAGAAUAGAUGCUAAUUUUUACGGGAAUAGUUCAUCUGCAUUUGCAUCCUUGGAAACAUUGAUCUUUCAUGAUAUGCCGGAAUGGGACGAAUGGGAAUGCAAGACAAGUGCUUUUCCAAGUCUUCGAUAUCUUUCUGUGUCGAAUUGUCCCAAACUGAAAGGACACUUGUCAGAACACCUUUCUCAUUUAAAGUAUCAAACUAUUGAUGUUUGCAAACAACUUAAAAUUGAAGGUGUGAAGAUGGAGACAUCUCCAUUUGAUAUGAUAGGGCACCAUCUUCAUUCCUUGAGGAUUUUUUUUUGUUCGGACAUGAAUAUUCCCAUAAAUCAUUGCUACGGUUUCCUUGUAGAAUUGCAUAUUACUCAAAGUUGUGACUCUCUCGCGAACUUCCCUCUAGACUUAUUCCCAAAACUCCGUGAGCUUGAUUUAGUCGACUGUCGUAACCUACAGAUAAUAUCACAGGGGCACCCUCAUCGUCAUUUGAAGAGUAUGAGAAUUGAAAAAUGUUCUGAAUUUGAAUUAUUUCCCGAUGAAGGAUUAUUUGCACCUCAGCUAGAGAAAUUUUCGAUUGAAGGAUUGGAGAAAUUGAAAUUAAUGCCGAAACGCAUGUCUGCCCUCCUUCCAUCUCUUAACUAUCUAAAUAUAAAUAAUUGUCCAGGAGUGGAGUUGUCUGACGAAUGUCUGCCAUUUAAUUUAAAACACAUCUAUCUCUUGAAUUGCUCCAAACUUGUUGCCUCAUUAAAGAAGGAGGUUUGGGGAAAAAACCCUUACCUAGAAUUCUUGUCUGUUGAAAAAGAUGACAUGGAGUAUUUUCCAGAUGAAGGUUUGCUCCCACAGUCUCUUACUGAGCUACGCAUAAAAGAUUGUUUAAAUCUUAAGAAACUGGACUAUAGGGGUCUCUGUCACCUCUCCUCUCUUCAGAAAUUGUUUCUCAGUAAGUGUCCAAUACUCCAAUGCUUGCCAGAGGAGGGUCUACCCGAAUCCAUUUCACAACUCAUAAUUACAGAUUGUCCGUUGCUCAAACAGCGGUACAAGAAAUAAAAUGGCGAAGACUGGAAAAAGAUUGCUCACAUUAGAACUAUAUAUUUACAAAUAGAAAACAAGUAAACAUGGAAGACGAUCUAGAAAUUGGAAAUUUCUAAGACACCGAUUCUCGUAUGCGUACAUUUUCAUCAGGUGCCAAUUCUUCACACUAUCUUUUAAGCAUUUCAGAUACAAUGUUAUUUAGUGCAAAUACUUUAAUCUCUAGUUCACCACUUUCUUCACGCAUCAACUUCUCAUCUUUUUAAUGUCUUAUUAUCAAUAUUCUGUUUUGAAGUUGAAUAACAAUGAUUAUAUUUAGGGAACAUGGAAAAUGGUGAAGGGGCGAAGUGUGAAAGUUGUGGCUCCAGUUUUGCACUCUGUAGUUGGGAGUAAUCUCGGUUUCAUUGAGUUGUUGGGUAAAGUUGUUUUCUUACCCACUCUCUUUCCUCCUUCUUGGUUCACUCUUAUAUGAUUCUUAUCCAAUAAUUUAUUUUGAAAGCCAAUUGGAUUCAAUCUUCUCGAGAAAGAAUUGUAACUAUUAUUGAAGUGUAUGUUUUUCUGGGAUUAGAUUGAAAGAGGUGUGAAUGAGGAGCUGUGUUGAUUCGACAUUUUAGAAUUGGAUUGGGACUUUGGGACUUAAAAUUACACCUAUUUUAUGUGUAAAAAAACCUAAUAAUCAAUCACUUCUCAUUAAGUCGACGAUUCUACAAUUUUUUUAACUCAUAAUAAUUCUUGAUUAACUCAAAAUGCUCUCCAAAAUUGCUGAAGAAAAAUUCAAUAACUCAUUUUUCAAACUCAGAAUUAUAACUAUCUAAAAAGAGUUUUUUCUCUCAGUUUUUCAAAAAAUUUCAGUUCGACUUAAAAAUGUUUUCAAGAAAGUUAUAUAGAUAACAUGUAUGUGGAUCUUUCCUCCUUGUAUGUUGCUAUUUUUACCAAAUUAAAGACUUCCAACUUACAUUCUAAUAGAAAUUAGUUAGUUGUUGUUCUGGUACAUAUAUGAAAAAUACCCAAAAAGGUUAAUACAUUUUGUUUUCCUUUCAUAACAUGAGACUAAACUAAAGUUAUACCAUGUUAUAACUUAUAAGUAAUCUUUUCAAGGGAGAAAUGCUAUAUUAUCUCUUGGUAUUUUUUCACCUAUGUAUGACAAAUACUUAGCAUUUGUUGUUUUUCUAAAUGGCUUGUGAUGUUCAAAUCCUUUCUAUCUUCUUGAGUUGACAGAUGAUGAGAAAAGAAAACAACUUGAUUGGAAACUAAGAUUAUGUAUAAUCAAUGGAAUAGCAAGAGGUCUUCUAUACUUUCAUGAGGACUCUCGACUCAGAAUAAUUCAUAGAGAUCUCAAAGCUAGCAAUUUGGAUUGGCAAGGGCAUUUGAAGUUGGACAGAACCAAGCAAAUACAAAGCGAGUAAUGGACACUUAAUGAUUUUUACUUAUACCAAACAUAUGUUGGAGUUGUGAAUGCAUAUUUCAGAGUUUAAUGAUUGAAAAAAUGAAAUUCCUUGUCAUAUACGAGAAACAAGAGAAAUUAACAAAGCUCUUUUGUUUUGAAUUAGUGGCUACACCUGAGUAUGCUAUGCAAGGAUUGUUUUCAGUGAAAUUUGAUGAUUUAGCUUUGGAGUUCUAGUUCUAGAAACCAUUUGUGGAAGAAAGAACAACAGAUUUUAUCUGUCAGAACAUGGUCAAACUCUUCUUUUAUAUGCGAGUCAUCCCUCUGGUCUGAUUAACCAAUAUCAACCAUACUAGCCAACUGAAGUAUGACAGUAUUAUUCACAAAUUAAUGACAAAUACUUGUAGGUUGGAGAACAUGGUGUGAGGGAAAAUGUUUGGAAUUGAUGGAUCCAAUGCUGGGGAAAUGCUUCAAAGCCAGUGAAGUUGAGAAGUGCAUACACAUUGCUUUGUUGUGCGUUCAAGAAAAUGCAACAUACAUACAGACUAACCAUGUCAGAUGUUGUUGUUAUGCUAGGGAGUGACAACAUGACGCUUCCAAAACCCAAGCACCCAACAUUUUCAGUUGGAAGAAAGGUGUCAGAGGAAGUGCCAAAAUCAAAAAAUCCAAGAAUCUUUGUAGUACUGAUGUAACAAUCUCUAUUACUUUACCGGGGCAAUAUAUAGUUGCAAAAAGAAUUUAUCAAUGAUUGAGAUUUACUCAUGUAAUUAGUUAUUUAGACAUAACAAUACUACAAAUAUGAAUAUUCUAUAAUCAUUCAGCAUCUUUUAUUAUAUAUAUAUCAAUACUGUGGGAUAUAUUUUAUUCUUCCCCGUCCUUCCUUUUAUAGUGAGCAUAGCAAAUAAGAAAAUUCCAAUGCCUGCCUCAGACAAGAGGGUACAUGUUUGUGUUCCUCAUAAAUUCUCAUGGACAAUACCUGCUCAGUGGCAGAUUAAAUAGGUCGAGUUUUAAAAGUAAAUAAAUCAAUAAGAUCAAUAAAUUUUUUAUUUCCUAUUACUAUAGCUAGAUAUUUUUGGAGCAGGGGAUAAUUUGACCAAACUGGUUUCGGAUCUGUGUUUUGCAUCUGAGCAAAGCCUUAUCCUGGAAGAAAGUUAAGAGAAGAAGCCAAUGCCCAUUAGUAUAGGCUUUGAUAGAUGGUCUCGGACAAGCUGCAGUUUUAAGCAGUGAGCGUGGCUUUUCUUUUGGAGCCAAUGAUUCACCAAGCUUAACCUCCUGCACUAAAGCUGUAUGAAAAGCUGCACAAAGAAAUACAAAAAUGCAGCAGAAAUUGAGUAAGGAAUAACUCUUAGUUUGAUUCUUUCUUGUUUCUUUUUGUAUGAGUGAUUGCAGCUUGGUUUCAAUCUGGGAAGAGCCUUAAGAAAGUAGGGGAUUUUUAUUCUGCUAUAUGUUUUUUUCUGGAUCUGUAUAAGGGUUGGAGCAUCAUAAAAUACACUUCCACUGUUUCAUUUAUUU